rnacentral:pre_miRNA from 2 species
AAUAGGAUAGCUGGAUCAUAUGAUAAGUAUAUCUUUAUAAGAAAUUGUCAAACUGUUUUCCAGAGUGGCUGUACCAUUUUCAUUCCCAGCAGCAAU